UCUAGAGCUAAUGCAUGCACACAAACCUGACCUUCAAGUAUGGUUGUGUUUAUUGACUUCAAAACCAACUCAAGCUCUGCUUGAUGUUUUGUAUGACUGAUGAUAAAUUAAUGAAUUGCGUGGCGCAUGCUGGCAAUGAAUUGUUUUAGUUUCUGACCUAUCAGCUUCCGACGGUAAAGUAUGGGCUUACCGUGGCAGUGACGGGUAAUUCCAGCUCCAAUAGCGUAUAUUAAAGUUGUUGCGGUUAAAAAGCUCGUAGUUGGAUUUCUGCUGAAGCAAACCGGUCCGCCCUCUGGGUGAGCAUCUGGCUUUAUUUUGGCAUAUGCUUAGACUUUGCAGCUGCACUUGACUGUGUGGUGUGAAGCUAAGCCAUUUACUUUGAGGAAAUCAGAGUGUUUCAAGCAGCAAUUGCCUUGAAUACACUAGCAUGGAAUAAUAUGAUAUGACUGUGGUUUUAUUUUGUUGGCUUCUAGA
rnacentral:rRNA from 1 species